rnacentral:rRNA from 1 species
UGGGGAAUUUUGGACAAUGGGGGCAACCCUGAUCCAGCAAUGCCGCGUGUGUGAAGAAGACCUUCGGGUUGUAAAGCACUUUUGUCCGGAAAGAAAACGCCGUGGUUAAUACCCGUGGCGGAUGACGGUACCGGAAGAAUAAGCACCGGCUAACUACGUGCCAGCAGCCGCGGUAAUACGUAGGGUGCAAGCGUUAAUCGGAAUUACUGGGCGUAAAGCGUGCGCAGGCGGUCCGCUAAGACAGAUGUGAAAUCCCCGGGCUUAACCUGGGAACUGCAUUUGUGACUGGCGGGCUAGAGUAUGGCAGAGGGGGGUAGAAUUCCACGUGUAGCAGUGAAAUGCGUAGAGAUGUGGAGGAAUACCGAUGGCGAAGGCAGCCCCCUGGGCCAAUACUGACGCUCAUGCACGAAAGCGUGGGGAGCAAACAGGAUUAGAUACCCUGGUAGUCCACGCCCUAAACGAUGUCAACUAGUUGUCGGGUCUUCAUUGACUUGGUAACGUAGCUAACGCGUGAAGUUGACCGCCUGGGAGU